rnacentral:tRNA from 1 species
GGGGCUGUAGUGUAGCCUGGCCGUGAGAAACCUCGGGAAAACCAUUGAACCCCGGUUCGAAUCCGGGCAGCCCCA